GAUAAAAUGGUGUGGCCAGGAAUUUCCCUGCUAAAGACAAAGAUAGCCUGCUGUUAGAAGCCCUGCCCAUGAUCAAUAGGCACUAGAGACAAAGCCCAAAGUCUUCAGAGAGAUUGCAUAUCCUUCAGUUUAUCUUGAAGGACAUUAUCAAACUAUCAACUGAUUCCCUCAAAAGGCUGAUUUUAUCACCGAACAGACUGAACAAUCACGACCAUGGUGUAAGUCUCUAUGUCCUAAAAAGAUAGCACCUCUACAGAUUCAC